UAGGGAAUCUUCGGCAAUGGGGGCAACCCUGACCGAGCAACGCCGGCGUGAGUGAAGAAGGUUUUCGGAUCGUAAAGCUCUGUUGUAAGAGAAGAACGUGUGUGAGAGUGGAAAGUUCACACAGUGACGGUAACUUACCAGAAAGGGACGGCUAACUACGUGCCAG
rnacentral:rRNA from 1 species